CAAGACCUUGCGCCCUUGGAGCGGCCGAUGUCUGAUUAGCUAGUUGGUGAGGUAAUGGCUUACCAAGGCGACGAUCAGUAGCUGGUCUGAGAGGACGAUCAGCCACACUGGGACUGAGACACGGCCCAGACUCCUACGGGAGGCAGCAGUGGGGAAUUUUGGACAAUGGCGCAAGCCUGAUCCAGCAAUGCCGUGUGAGUGAAAAAGGCCUUCGGGUUGUAAAGCUCUUUCAGCCGGAACGAAACGAUCACGGCUAAUACCUGUGAUCACUGACGGUACCGGAAGAAGAAGCACCGGCUAACUACGUGCCAGCAGCCGCGGUAAUACGUAGGGUGCAAGCGUUAAUCGGAAUUACUGGGCGUAAAGCGUGCGCAGGCGGUUUUGUAAGUCAGAUGUGAAAGCCCCGGGCUUAACCUGGGAACU
rnacentral:rRNA from 1 species